rnacentral:lncRNA from 1 species
UAAUAGUAGUGCUGUCAAGCAGGAUGGUGUUGUGAAGAAAACAGUUAAGAGGAAAAUAAUUAAGAGGGUUCCCAAACGAAAAGCAGCAUCUACAGAGUCCAACAAUGUGGUCAGUGGUGUUGAUAGUGUCAAAGAUGAUCUGAAAGAGGAGAAGUCAGUUCAAGCUGAAAGUGAGGUGCAAAAUGUUGGUCAGUGGUGUUGAUAGUAUCAAAGAUGAUGUGAUAGAGGAGAAGUCAGUUCAAGCUGAAAGUGAGGUGCAAAAUGUGGGUGAUGAUAAUGUAGAAAAUACAGAAAAUAUGAAUGUGGUCAAACAAGAACAGAAGG